GUGUCCGUCCCUUGGCAUUCAAAAGCGUCGAAAGAAACCUAACAACAUAGCGUUCUCCUUAAACCCUAGACGUCGCUCGUGGCUUCUGAGAAUGUAAGCCCCGAGACAGUAUCCAAAGCCGUCGAUGCUCUCCUCAAGUGGCGGCGCUCCCAAUUAGAGAUUCAGAAACCAAAACUCUUGGACGAAGACGAAGAAUUCGUGUACCUGAUCCUCACGCUGAAGAAGAUCCCUUCAAAAUCCUGAGUUAACCCUCACAAGAUUCCUCUCCUACACUCCUUCAUCUCCCCUUUCUCCGAGCAGUGCCUCAUCCUCGAUGAUCGGCCCAACAAGGCCCGCAUCACCAAAGCCCAGGCCUAAGCCAAAAUCUAGUCUAAAUCCGUCCCCGUCCCCAAAGUCCUAAAGCUCUCGAAACUCGCCUCCGAUUACCGCCCCUUCGAGGCGAAGCGAAAACUCUAUGAUUCUUAUGACUUGUUUUUUGCAGAGAAGAGCAUUGUGCCGCUCCUGCCGCGGCUUCUGGGGAAGAGUUUUUUCAAGAAGAGGAAGAUUUCGGUGCCGGUGGACCUGAAGAAGGGGAGCUGGAAGGAGCAGGUGGAGAGGGCCUGCUCGUCCGCCAUGCUGUUCAUGAGGACGGGGACUUGUAGUGUGGUUAGGGUUGCCAAGACUUGGGCAAUGAAGCUUGGGAGGAAUGUUCUGGUUCUAACACAGACAACUAAUUCCAGAUCACUAGCUUUUCUUUCACAAUCAUUGAAUGAAGUAUGGUUCUGUAGCAGAGACAAUUGCAUAUGACUUAGUUUUGGAAGUUGCAAUGAAAAUCCAGGGAUUUCAGCAAAGGAAUUUAUUGUUGCACGGUUCAUGGAAAUGGUUGUUGACAUAGUUUGCAUCUUAUUAUGGGGUAUCUGAGAUAUAUACCAAGCUGCGAUAUCUAUCUUAUGUCAUGGAUGUGGCUACACCUACAGCAGACUGCCUUAACUUGGUGUAUAACCUGCUAGCACCUGUUAUCAUGAAGGGCAAUAACAAGACUUCUUUCAGCCACCAGGAGAACCAAAUACUAGGAGAGACCAAUGAUCAAAUUAAACAGAUACUUACACAUGUUUUUGAGAAUUAUAAAUCACUUGAUGAGUAUUCUUUCUCGGGCAUCAUAGAGGUUUUCAGACCAGCAACGGGUCAAGCAGCACCAGCCUUGGAACCUGCUGCUAAACUCUACAAGUUUCUUCAUGAUAUCUUAUCUCCUGAGGCUUAAAUUGCAUUUUGUCAUUAUUUCCAGGUUGCUUCCAUAUACAACACAAAGCUUUGCAAUAGAUUACGGGCCUUCCUCAUAUAUUGUCCACCGAUGGGCCUAUCAUCACCACCGAUGGGCCCAUCAUCACCGAUGAACCUUUUGAUUUUGAAGGAUACUUCAAAACUGGUGAAAUGGUCAGGAGUUAGAACACAACAUUCUACUACUCCCUUUGUUGAUGAUAUGUAUGAGCGGCUGAAGGAGACAUUGACAGACUACGAGGUCAUCAUUUUCCGCUGGCCGGAAUAUACCUUGGUCUUAGAGAAUCAAGUCGUUGCUGAUAUUGAAAAGGCCAUUGUGGAAGCUUUAGACAAUCAAUAUGCGGAUGUAAUGAACCAGGGGAAUGAACAUUGAUUUCCUUCUUUAGGAGGUGACAUCGAAUAUAGAGGUAGGAAUAGCUUCUCUGAGAGAGAACCAUGCAUAAUCAAAAAGAGCAAAAUAGGUAUAGAAUUACCCCCAUUCCAUUUCUUGAACCAUGUCCAUUUAAAGAUCUUGAUGCUAUUUAAAAUGCUGAGUUUUUGCAUAAAAUUUUCAUUGUAAUGAACAAAAAAGUUUAGCAGGAGCACAGAUCAGGUGAGGUAGGCAAAAAUGAAUCUUGACCAUCCUCGAAUUAUAGAUGUGCAGAAUUAUAGGUAUAUUGCUUCUCUGAUUUUACCUUCUUACGAAUAAAAAAGGCCUUAUUCAUAUUUUCACUAGUGUCUCUUUUCUCUGUAAACAACAUUUUUGUGGCUACAUGGAAUGUAGUUGGAAGAUAAAAAAGGCCUUAUACAAAUUAAUUUGUCUGAAUGUGGCUGCUAACUUGAUCAAUAUAUGGGGAUUUCAUAUUUCUUUUCUCUAGAUGAUAUACUAUAUCUCUUUCCACAUUUGACAUUCAUGCAUAUAUAAUUUAACCAGAGCAAAAAUGGUAAGCACUAAUCUCAUAUUGCAUGUUCUUUAGUCUUUAAUUUGUCAUCUACUCCUAUGUCUUCUUUACUAGUUAAUUAAUGUUUGUUUGUCUCAACUUUAAGCUAAUAAUGGCACUGGCAUUGUGUCAUGAAGACAAAAAAUGACUGGGAACUGCACUUCAAGCACAACAACAAACCGAAUACACAUACAUAUUUCCUUGGAAGUUUAGAUUGCUGGAGGAGCUUGAACGUGGUGAACAACUCAUUGGAGAUGGCACAAUUAGCUAUGGAGGACAUAUUGACCCAACUGAAGAAGGAAAUGGUCGCACCUUGGAGGACAUACCUUGGAUCGAAUUGCAUAUUUGUUGUAUGCAAUAUAAGAGUUAAUGCUUUGUGGAUCCAUCCUUCUUAACUCUUUUAUAUAAGUAAUAUUUUCCCUUAUAAUUACAAAAGUGCUUUCAAUUUUAGUCUC